UGUUUCUUCACCAGUGUCUUCUGAGAUAGAACCCAUAAGCAACCCCCAUUCAGUAUUAAUCCCAACACUUGUUACCUGGGAAAAUAGUUAGUGGUCUAGCAAGCAAGUUGGAAGCAACAAACAAAUUACCAGUUGUCAGUGAAGGGGGAAGGAGUUGCUUUACAGUAUGCCUUAACAAGUGCACAUCUUGUAAUAUACAGUUAUACAUUGGCUACUAGUUUCAUGCUUAAAAAGCUGGAAAGGAAAAACAUUAAUUGUCAAAUGACGCGUGAAAAUAAAGAUUAGACUUGAAUACUUGUGUUUUCCAUAUUUCACAAGGAUUUCUAGUUUUAUAUGUAUUCUUAUUUUACUGGAUAUGUUUUAUUUAUAUUUUCUAGUAUAUUUAAGACUCUAAAAUACUACUUCUAUUUAAUUUAAGUCUUUAAAUAUAUUUUCUAUUUAGAUUAGGACUCUUUAAUUUAUUCCUACCUAGAUUAGGAUUUAAAACUCUAU
rnacentral:misc_RNA from 1 species